rnacentral:rRNA from 1 species
GAUGAACGCUGGCGGCGCGCCUAACACAUGCAAGUCGAACGAUUAAAGCACCUUCGGGUGUGUAUAAAGUGGCGAACGGCUGAGUAACACGUGGGCAACCUGCCCCUCUCAUUGGGAUAGCCACGGGAAACCGUGGAUAAUACCGCAUACUUCGGGACUUCCGCAUGGAAGACUCGAGAAAGCUCCGGCGGAGAGGGAUGGGCCCGCGGCCUGUUAGCUUGUUGGGGGGGUAAUGGCCUACCAAGGCAAUGAUGGGUAGCUGGGUUGAGAGAGCGACCAGCCAGAUUGGGACUGAGACACGGCCCAGACUCCUACGGGAGGCAGCAGUGGGGAAUCUUGCACAAUGGGCGAAAGCCUGAUGCAGCGACGCCGCGUGCGGGAUGAAGGCCUUCGGGUUGUAAACCGCUUUCAGCAGGGACGAGGCGAAAGUGACGGUACCUGCAGAAGAAGCCCCGGCUAACUACGUG